rnacentral:rRNA from 1 species
GGCGAAAGCGUCGUGCUGGACCACUACUGACGCUGAGGACGAAAGCUAGGGAGCAAACAGGAUUAGAUACCCUGGUAGUCCUAGCCCUAAACGAUCAGGACUUGGGGUGCCACCGUUUCGGGUGUCGUCUCGGAGCUAACGCGUUAAGUCCUGCACAUGGGGAGUACGGUCGCAAGACUGAAACUCAAAGGAAUUGACGGGGGCCCGCACAAGCGGUGGAACAUGUGGUUCAAUUCGACGCUACGCGAGGAACCUUACCUGGGCUCGAAAUGCUUCUGACCAGCUGUAGAAAUACGGCCUUCCCGCAAGGGACAGGAGUAUAGGCGCUGCAUGGCUGUCGUCAGCUCGUGCCGCGAGGUGUUGGGUUAAGUCCCGCAACGAGCGCAACCCCUGCACGUAGUUGCCACUCGCAAGAGGGAACUCUACGUGGACUGCUCCGGAUAACGGAGAGGAAGGUGGGGAUGACGUCAAGUCCGCAUGGCCUUUAUGUCCAGGGCUACACACGUGUUACAAUGCAGGGCACAAACCGUUGCCAACCCGCGAGGGGGAGCUAAUCGGAAAAAACUCUGCUCAGUUCGGAUUGCAGUCUGCAACUCGACUGCAUGAAGCCGGAAUCGCUAGUAAUGGCGUAUCAGAUCGACGCCGUGAAUACGUUCCCGGGCCUUGUACACACCGCCCGUCACAUCACGAAAGUGAGCUGUACUAGAAGUCGCCGUGCCAACCGCAAGGAGGCAAGCGCCCAAGGUAUGACUCAUGAUUGGGGUGAAGUCGUAACAAGGUAACCAAGGCGAUCUGCAGAUCCUUGAUCAGGUGGAU